rnacentral:rRNA from 1 species
UACAGAGGUGGCAAGCGUUGUUCGGAAUUACUGGGCGUAAAGGGCGCGUAGGUGGCCUUCUUAGUCAGACGUGAAAUCCCCGGGCUCAACCUGGGAACUGCAUUUGUGACUGCAUCGCUGGAGUGCGGCAGAGGGGGAUGGAAUUCCGCGUGUAGCAGUGAAAUGCGUAGAUAUGCGGAGGAACACCGAUGGCGAAGGCAAUCCCCUGGGCCCGCACUGACGCUCAUGCACGAAAGCGUGGGGAGCAAACAGG